GUUGUUAAAGAAGAACACGUAUGAGAGUAACUGUUCAUACGUUGACGGUAUUUAACCAGAAAGUCACGGCUAACUACGUGCCAGCAGCCGCGGUAAUACGUAGGUGGCAAGCGUUAUCCGGAUUUAUUGGGCGUAAAGAGAGUGCAGGCGGUUUCUAAGUCUGAUGUGAAAGACCUUCGGCUUAACCGGAGAAGUGCAUCGGAAACUGGAUAACUUGAGUGCAGAAGAGGGUAGUGGAACUCCAUGUGUAGCGGUGGAAUGCGUAGAUAUAUGGAAGAACACCAGUGGCAAAGGACGGCUACCUGGUCUGCAACUGACGCUGAGACUCGAAAGCAUGGGUAGCGAACAGGAUUAGAUACCCUGGUAG
rnacentral:rRNA from 1 species